rnacentral:rRNA from 1 species
ACGAACGCUGGCGGCGUGCUUAACACAUGCCAGUCGAACGGAAAGGCCUUUUCGGAGGUACUCGAGUGGCGAACGGGUGAGUAACACGUGGGUGAUCUGCCCUGCACUCUGGGAUAAGCCUGGGAAACUGGGUCUAAUACCGGAUAGGACCGCACUUUAGUGUGUGUGGUGGAAAGUUUUUUCGGUGUAGGAUGAGCCCGCGGCCUAUCAGCUUGUUGGUGGGGUAAUGGCCUACCAAGGCGGCGACGGGUAGCCGGACUGAGAGGUUGGUCGGCCACAUUGGGACUGAGGGACGGCCCAGACGCCGACGGGAGGCAGCAGUGGGGAAUAUUGCACAAUGGGCGCAAGCCGGAUGCAGCGACGCCGCGUGGGGGAUGACGGCCUUCGGGUUGUAAAAGCCUUUCGCCAGGGACGAAGCGUUUUGUGACGGUACCUGGAGAAGAAGCACCGGCUAACUACGUG